rnacentral:rRNA from 1 species
GAUGAACGCUAGCUACAGGCUUAACACAUGCAAGUCGAACGGUAACAGAAAGAAGCUUGCUUCUUUGCUGACGAGUGGCGGACGGGUGAGUAAUGUCUGGGAAACUGCCUGAUGGAGGGGGAUAACUACUGGAAACGGUAGCUAAUACCGCAUAACGUCGCAAGACCAAAGAGGGGGACCUUCGGGCCUCUUGCCAUCGGAUGUGCCCAGAUGGGAUUAGCUUGUUGGUGGGGUAACGGCUCACCAAGGCGACGGUCCCCUAGCUGGUCUGAGAGGAUGACCAGCCACACUGGAACUGAGACACGGUCCAGACUCCUACGGGAGGCAGCAGUGGGGAAUAUUGCACAAUGGGCGCAAGCCUGAUGCAGCCAUGCCGCGUGUAUGAAGAAGGCCUUCGGGUUGUAAACC